rnacentral:rRNA from 1 species
ACCGGCGCACGGGUGCGUAACGCGUAUGCAACCUGCCUUGUACAGGGGAAUAGCCCAGAGAAAUUUGGAUUAAUGCCCCAUAAUACUAAGGUUCACAUGAACCUUAGUUAAAAACUCCGGUGGUACAAGAUGGGCAUGCGUGACAUUAGCUAGAUGGUAAGGUAACGGCUUACCAUGGCAAUGAUGUCUAGGGGUUCUGAGAGGAUGAUCCCCCACACUGGUACUGAGACACGGACCAGACUCCUACGGGAGGCAGCAGUGAGGAAUAUUGGGCAAUGGAGGCAACUCUGACCCAGCCAUGCCGCGUGCAGGAUGACUGCCUUAUGGGUUGUAAACUGCUUUUGUAUAGGACGAACCCCGUUACGAGUAACGGUUUGACAGUACUAUACGAAUAAGGAUCGGCUAACUCCGUGCCAGCAGCCGCGGUAAUACGGAGGAUUCGAGCGUUAUCCGGAUUUAUUGGGUUUAAAGGGUGCGUAGGCGGUUUAUUAAGUCAGUGGUGAAAUUUUAGGGCUCAACCCUGAGACUGCCAUUGAUACUGGUAAACUUGAGUAUACGUGACGUAGGCGAAAUUUGACAAGUAGCGGUGAAAUGCAUAGAUAUGUCAAGGAACUCCAAUUGCGAAGGCAGCUUACGAAAGUAUAACUGACGCUGAUGCACGAAAGCGUGGGUAGCGAACAGGAUUAGAUACCCU